rnacentral:lncRNA from 1 species
UGCUCCACUCUCCGCGACGGACCCCGCGUAGCUCCAUUACCCCCUGACAGGCCAUAUUAACGACUAUGAUUCUGCUCCAUUCCCUGCGGCGGAUUCCGUGCGAUUCCACCACUCUCUGACAAGUCACGACAGCGGACGCCGCUCCACUCCCCGUAACUGAUUUGACGUGGCGAGCCACAGCGAUAGCCAUGAUUCUGCUCCACUACCCUCCGCAAUAAAUUUCUCCUGACUCUGGGCAGCCCA